rnacentral:rRNA from 1 species
AUUGAACGCUGGCGGCAGGCCUAACACAUUCAAGUCGACCGGAUGAGUCGAGCUUGCUCCAUGAUUCAGCGGCGUACGGGCGAGUAAUGCCUAGUAAUCUGCCUGGUAGUGGGGGUCAACGUUUCGAAAGGAACGCUAAUACUGCAUACGUCCUACGCCAGUAAGUGGGGGAUCUUCGGACCUCACGCUAUCAGAUGAUCCUAGUUCGGAUUACCUACUUGGUGAGGUAAAGGCUCACCAAGGCGACGAGCCGUAACUGGUCUGAGAGGAUGAUCAGUCACACUGGAACUGAGACACGGUCCAGACUCCUACGGGAGGCAGCAGUGGGGAAUAUUGGACAAUGGGCGAAAGCCUGAUCCAGCCAUGCCGCGUGUGUGAAGAAGGUCUUCGGAUUGUAAAGCACUUUAAGUUGGGAGGAAGGGCAGUAAGUUAAUACCUUGCUGUAUUGACGUUACCAACAGAAUAAGCACCGGCUAACUUCGUGCCAGCCGCCGCGGUAAAAC